UGGGUCUAGCUUGGAGCCUUGGUAGGGAA
rnacentral:piRNA from 1 species